GAUGAAGAACGUAGCGAAAUGCGAUAAGUAAUGUGAAUUGCAGAAUUCAGUGAAUCAUCGAAUCUUUGAACGCACCUUGCGCCCUUUGGCUAUUCCGAAGGGCAUGCCAGUUUGAGUAUCGUGAACACCUCAACUCUCAUGGUUUGCCAUGAUGAGCUUGGACUUUGGGGGUUUUGCUGGCCUUUGGUCGGCUCCUCUCAAACGGAUCAGCUUUCCAGUGUUUGGUGGCGUCACGGGUGUGAUAACUAUCUACGCCUGUGGUUUUCUGCCAGAUAACCUUCAGCGAUGGAGGUUCGCUGGGGCUCAUAAAUGUCUCUCUUCAGUGGAGACAGCUUUUUGGACGUUUGAUCUCAAAUCAGGUAGGACUACCCGCUGAACUUAAGCAUAUCAAUAAGCGGAGGA
rnacentral:misc_RNA from 1 species